UACGUAGGGUGCGAGCGUUAAUCGGAAUUACUGGGCGUAAAGCGUGCGCAGGCGGUUUUGUAAGCCAGAUGUGAAAUCCCCGGGCUUAACCUGGGAAUGGCAUUUGGGACUGCAAGGCUUGAGUGCGGCAGAGGAGACUGGAAUUCCUGGUGUAGCAGUGAAAUGCGUAGAUAUCAGGAGGAACACCGAUGGCGAAGGCAGGUCUCUGGGCUGACACGUGACGCUCAUGCACGGAAAGCGUGGGGAGCAAACAGG
rnacentral:rRNA from 1 species